rnacentral:rRNA from 1 species
UACGUAGGAUGCAAGCGUUGUCCGGAUUUAUUGGGCGUAAAGCGAACGUAGGCGGCUUCUUAAGUUUGGUCUUAAAGACCGGGGCUCAACCCCGGGAGUGGACUGAAUACUGGGAGGCUAGAGGAUGUCAGAGGAAAGUGGAAUUCCUAGUGUAGCGGUGAAAUGCGUAGAUAUUAGGAGGAACACCAGUGGCGAAAGCGACUUUCUGGGACAUUUCUGACGCUGAGGUUCGAAAGCUCGGGGAGCAAAC